ensembl:lncRNA novel transcript, antisense to SLITRK1
GCAGUGUGGGCAGCACCAACAAAAGCAGCAGAGAGGGAUUUCCAGUAUUAAUAAAGGGAUUCACUGCUGCAUUUGGAGAGGGGAAAAAAAGAAGGGUUAACUUAUGCUCUGAACUGCCUACCGAUCACAAAUAAUGGCGAAAUGGCACUUUCUGAUUAUACUGUAUUUUGUUUAUAGAAAGUUUGAUACGAUGGAACUUAUCAGGAGAGCUGCUGGAAGCCAAGAAAUGAAAAGAGAAUGGGGAAAUCCAGACAGAUUUAUGUAUAUAUUAAGGGUUUAUCUUGGAGGUUGAAAUCACAAUUCAAGAGGAAAUUCUUCAUGGGACAUUCUAAAGGAAAGUAAUGAUAACUAAUGUACCCACCAGAACCUCUUCUCACGUAAAAAUUGCCGCUGUCCCCAGCAAAUUCCGUCAAUCAUUUUACAAAUGCUAGCUUAUUAAAGAUAUACCAAAAAGUAGGUAACUAGGGCUAAAUCUGAGACCAUGAUGUUUCAGAGUUUUAGAAUAUUAUUGUGAAUACACAGGAGAAAACAAAUUUAAAUUUUGUAAUCACAUUUGAAAAGUCAGAGCAUCACUUUGAGGGUGGCAUUGAGAUUUAUGGCCAGAAGUCAAGUUCAGCUUUAAGUUUAAUGCCAUUCAGCCUGUAUCUGUGUCCCUGCAGCUAGGGUAGCUAGCUAGGUUCCUGUUUCUUCUUGGACAACCAUCUCUAUCAUAGUCAUUUAUUUCUAUUUUUAAAUAUAGCUUGGUACAUGGGUUUAUCUUAAAAGUACAACACAUACUCAGUUUCCAACUAUUUCAAGAUGAAGUUCAUAACUAAAUCACAGUAAGGUGUACUUUUCCUAGAAUAUUUUGCAUUGCCCAAAGCCUUUCCCUUUAACAUAGUACAAUGAAGCCUAGGAUGUGAGCUUUUAUCUAGUAGCUGAUUUGCAUAAUGUAAGUAUGCACACAUACAUAUAUGUAAAUGCACAUAUGUGUGUUUUCUGAAAUGUGGUUUUCUGUUUCAACUUGGUUCUUAUUAGAAUGAUUUUUUAAAGUGACUAAAUAUUCUUUAGAUUCAUUUGUUUUUUCAAUAAAAUUGACAUAGUAACUCAUUUUUGAGAAAAUAAGCUUCUGUAUAUAAUAAUGGAUGACAUCCAUUCUUUGUCAUUGUCUAUGUAACAUUCUCUGCCUACCCUAUUUUUUUUUAACUCCCUUCAACCCAUUUUCCAAUAUGGCGUAGCUUGAAAUUCUCACUCUAAAAAAAAUCCAUUCACUAGCAUGGAAAAUAUAUCAGCAUAUAAAUUUCAAAUAUAGUGAAAAUAUGAAUAAUAUCUUUGAAGUAAGUUUACUAGUUGAAUAGCUAUGUUAAAAGUAAUUGUGUAAAACAGAUACUAGAUUUGCAUUCUAAAACUCAUAGAGUAACAAUGUUUUCUUACAUAAAGUUUUUGGUAUAAUAGGUUUUACUUGAAGAGGACGAAUUUAGGAAAGUCUCAUUUUACAGUAGGUUUCUAAAAGGACUUUAGGCUUAUUUUACAUAGCCAUUGAUUUUUACAGAUCAUUAGACUGACCACAUAUUAUUUUAAUCUAGCUGCAUUUAGUUAAAUUGGUUAUUUGUAAUGUUUGUGACUUUUGCUAACUUAAAUUGCUUGUUUAUUAGCAUACGACCUGCAUAAAAAUAAUUGUUAUUGAAGAAUAUCACUACCAGAAAUUGCAAAUAUUAUCACUAUGAUUUAAAAAUUAAGUAUAAAACCACCAUGGAAUACUAUGCAGCCAUAAAAAAGGAUGAGUUCGUGUCCUUUGUAGAGACAUGGAUGAAGCUGGAAACCAUCAUUAUGAGCAAACUAUUGCAAGGACAGAAAACUAAACACUGCAUGUUCUCACUCAUAGGUGGGAAUUGAACAAUGAGAACACUUGGACACAGGGUGGGGAACAUCACACACUGGGACCUGUCACGGGGUGGAGGGAUAGGGGAGGGAUAGCAUUAGGAGAGAUACCUAAUGUAAAUGACUAGUUAAUGGGAGCAGCAAACAAACAUAGCACAUGUAUACAUAUGUAACAAACCUGCACGUUGUGCACAUGUACCCUAGAACUUAAAGUAUAAUAAUCAAAAAUUAAGUAUAAAACAAUAAUUAAGAUAAAUACAAAAUAAAUCUGUUUAUUUUAAUUCUCAUGUUUAUUUGAAGGGAUGUUUUAAUAUACUCUACUACACUUUUUUUACCAAGUUGAAUUUUAAAAUAUUUUGAUAAUAAUUCCCCCAUGUGUUACUCCUUCUGAAAUUGAAAAUGAAUACAGUAACUAAAACAUAAAGCAUCAAAAACCUGUAACUUUGCUCAUAAGUUUUACCAUUUAUUUACUUUGACCAAAGUAAUAUAAAAAUAAUCGGUGAUAAUAACAUAUUUUAAAUUUUUUAAAGUAUAAUUCUUUUCAGUUUUUUUAAUGUUACAACAUCAUUAGGACACUAUUUAGAAGAUUAUUUACUGACUCAUUAGGAUUACUAUUUCAUUUGCAAAUUUACCAAUUCAGCCAAGUUUUGCCUUUUACUGAAGUGUUAAUUCUAAGUAAACAAAGUAUAUGGCUUCAAAUCUUAAAUGAACGGGUUUCACACCAUUAUUUAUCAAACAAUUUUGCUACUUUCAUUCCUCCACCCCAGCAGCCCUUUUAGCAAUUUUUUUUUUCCUAACUUCCCAAGGGAAACUUUCAUACCAGAGAUAACUGUUUAUGUACUAUGUGGUUCUUUGGAGGACCACAGACCAUUGUAAUAGCUAAGAUACCGCCACUCAAACUGUUCCCCCUUGUGGGUGAUAUAAUCCCCAUUGAGAAUGUAUGGUUUAUUCCUACAGAUUUUACCACAGUUUAGUCACCUAUUUACUAUUCAUGGUAUUGCUGAAGGAAGACUUGCUGAAAUAUUACCAGCCAUAAAAUAUGUCAAUAGCAUUAGGAGAUAUUGAAUGGCACUUUAUCUCUGAGGUGGUCUUGAAAACUCAAAAUCAAAUGUCUUAUCUCAAUGAGAUGUUUCAAAGAAAAAUCACCAGGUGCAAAAAUUUGUUUCCAUAAAUUAUAGUUCAGCUCAUAGGACUUAAACAUCUGCCAAAAUGUCAAUCAAAAGAUGUUGAAAAGCUCCCCUAAUCUUUGUCAAAAGGAGACUUUUUCUUUCUUUUGUUUUUUCUUAAUUCCACCUUGGCCUAUUACAACUAACAUCAGCACACAUACCCCUGGCAAAGAGUUUGCUGCACUGCGUUCUCCUCUGGUCCCUUCUUCUUAAAUCCUAUGUUAAUAUGCUGCUUGGUGAAAGUCUUCUUAGGGCAAGACAGCAUUAUUGCAUUAUUGGCAAAAUAACAGCAGAAGCUUGUAAAUGAGUCUGACAGCUCAAAAUGGAAGACUUGUCCAGCAACAGGCUUUUAUGUAACAGUGUGUUAAUAACAUCAUUUUGAAGAAACAAAUGAAUUAAAAGUAUCUAUAAUUGUUAUUAUUUGCCCAUUGAUUGGAGAUAAUUUUAUGUGAAUAUCUAUCCAAUAUCUGACAAAAAUCGACUGUUAAAACGUGAGUUGGUGGUGGCAAAUAUUAAUUUUCAAUGGUAUUAUUUUCUGAGAAAUACUUUAAAAUGUUUUCCUAGGAUAAAUAUAGUAUAUUAAAUAAUGAGUUUCACUUGAUAAUUUAAGGAAGAGAAAAUAACUCUCUAGAAUAGCACUGUUAUGAAUAAUAAAAGCAUAUAUAGAUCAUUGUAGGCCUAUUCAUAAUUCGUGCUUUUAUACAUACUCUAGGUUUAUUGUAUAACAUCAUUUAAUCAAGAAAAACAAAGUGGGGACUCAAUGUCAAAUAAAAAAGAGUGAG